UGUAUAAAUAAAAUGUGUUUUUAAAAAGAAAUAUAAAAAUAAAUUUGUGUUACAUGAAUGUAAUUACUAUGUAAGUGUACAGUUGUAUAAAGUUUCUUCCUAAUUUGGACAACACUUUUGGGGCACACCACUACCACUUCGACUGGCUUCCGGACAUUGUACAAAAUUGUAAGACAUUGUUAGACAUUGUAAAGCAUUGUUAGACAUUGUAAAACAUUUUAAGAUAAUGUCAGAUAUUGUAAAAUAAGAUAUUAAUGGACAUUGUUGGUUGUGACUUGGGUGCAUCUAUGAAAUGAUACCUUUAAUUAAUUAAAUUUAAUCGAAUAUACUGGUAAAAGAUAAAAGUGUUUUUCAUAAGC
rnacentral:lncRNA from 1 species